AUUGAACGCUGGCGGAAUGCUUUACACAUGCAAGUCGAGCGGCAGCGCGGGGCGAACCCUCGGCGGCGAGCGGCGAACGGGUGGAGUAAUGCAUCGGAACGUACCCAGUCGUGGGGAGUAACGUGGCGAAAGUACACGCUAAUACCGCAUACGUCCUGAGGGAGAAAGCAGGGGAGUCGCAAGACCUUGCGCGAUUGGAGCGGCCGAUGUCUGAUUAGCUAGUUGGUGGGUAAAGGCCGUACCAAGGCGACGAUCAGUAGCUGGUCUGAGAGGACGAUCAGCCACACUGGGACUGAGACACGGCCCAGACUCCUACGGGAGGCAGCAGUGGGGAAUUUUGGACAA
rnacentral:rRNA from 1 species